CCUACGGGAGGCAGCAGUGGGGAAUAUUGCGCAAUGGGCGAAAGCCUGAAGCAGCGACGCCGCGUGAGGGAUGAAGGCCUUCGGAUCGUAAACCUCUGUCAGCAGGGAAGAACGGUCAUCGUGCUAAUCAGCAGUGAAUUGACGGUAGCUGCAAAGGAAGCACCGGCCAACUCCGUGCCAGCAGCCGCGGUAAUGCGGAGGGGGCGAGCGUUAAUCGGAUUUAUUGGGCGGAAGGGGAUCGUAGGCGGUAUGUCAGGUAAAGGGUGAAAUCCCCGGGCUCAACGUGGGAACUGCCUUUGAAACUGGCAGACUGGAGUGUGUGAGAGGUGAGUGGAAUUCGAGGUGUAGGGGUGAAAUGCGUAGAUAUCAGGAAGAACACCGAUGGCGAAGGCAGCUAUCUGGCACGUAACUGACGCUGAGGAGCGAAAGCGUGGGUAGCAAACAGGAUUAGAUACCCGAGUAGUC
rnacentral:rRNA from 1 species